rnacentral:rRNA from 1 species
AAGUUUAGUCAAUGCUCGCAAGAGUGAACUAGCUAACUGAAAUCAUAGAAUUUUUUAAAAUUCAUGAUGUCGUAAGGGAAAAUAAUGAUAAUACCUUACUAUGAGUGUUGUCCAAAUYUGGUGCCAGAAGACUCGGUAAGACCAGAAACGCAAACGUUAAUCAUCAUAAACAGGCGUAAAGGGUUUGUAGGCAGCUUUUAUCAGAUUAUGCAUUUUAAAAUAAAGUAGUYUAAUUAAAAGCUAGAAUCAAAAAGAGGUUAUAGUGUAUAACGCCUAGAGGAGGGCUGAUAUCCAUAGAUCCUAGGCAGAAUACUAAGGGCGAAGGCCACUUUCCAUUAAUGAUUGACGCUGAGAAACGAAGGUUAGGGUAGGAAAUAGGAUUAGAUACCCCGGUACUCCUUUCUGUAAACGAUGAAUGGUAGUCAUUAGUUUUUUUCUUAGAAAAAAAAAAAUAACUAGAGACGAAGUUAACACAAUAACCAUUCCGCCUUGUGAGUACUACUGCAAAGUAGAAAACAAAAAAAUUAGUCGGUCUCGAAGCAAACGGAGUGAAGCAUGUUAUUUAAUGGA